AGAGUUUGAUCCUGGCUCAGAACGAACGCUGGCGGCAGGCCUAACACAUGCAAGUCGAGCGAGGUAGCAAUACCUAGCGGCGGACGGGUGAGUAACGCGUGGGAACGUGCCCUUUGCUACGGAAUAGCCCUGGGAAACUGGGAGUAAUACCGUAUGUGCCCUUUGGGGGAAAGAUUUAUCGGCAAAGGAUCGGCCCGCGUUGGAUUAGGUAGUUGGUGGGGUAAUGGCCUACCAAGCCGACGAUCCAUAGCUGGUUUGAGAGGAUGAUCAGCCACACUGGAACUGAGACACGGUCCAGACUCCUACGGGAGGCAGCAGUGGGGAAUAUUGCACAAUGGGCGAAAGCCUGAUGCAGCAACGCCGCGUGAGGGAUGAAGGCCUUCGGGUUGUAAACCUCUUUUAGCAGGGAAGAAGCGAAAGU
rnacentral:rRNA from 1 species